rnacentral:misc_RNA from 1 species
GCAGCGUAGUUCUGGAUGAUCAGCAGGUUACUUUCUUUUGGACGUUGGCUGAAAAUUCAAUCUCCAUUGCAGCUCGAGGGGAGAAAAAGAGUGGUUAUUUGGCAAUUGGUUUUGGUCGUGGUAUGGUGAAUAGUUAUGCAUACGUGGGCUGGGUUGAUGACACUGGUAACGGGAAAGUAAGCACAUACUGGAUAGAUGGAAGAGAUGCUUCCAAUAUUCACCCAACUCAUGAGAAUUUGACACACGCAAGAUGCAAGUCAGAGAAUGGUAUUAUUACUAUGGAAUUCACCCGUCCACUACGUCCCUCUUGCGAUCUGGACGAUAAGCCAGAGUGCAAUAAUAUUGUUGAUCCAACGACACCACUCAAAGUCAUCUGGGCCAUGGGUGCUCAAUGGUCAGAUGACCAUCUGAGUGUGAGAAAUAUGCACUCCUUCACAAGCAGCAGGCCUAUCAGAGUGCUGCUCAUGCG